UUUUUAAUUUAAAAUAUAAAUGCUAAAAUAUUAAAAGUUAUGUUCUUUAAAUUUAAAGGAUUUGGCGGUUUCUUAGUCUAGUUAGAGGAACCUGUUUAUUAAACGAUAAACCUCGCAGUAUCUUGCCUGUUUUAUUAGUUUGUAUACCGUCAUUAUCAGAUUACUUUUAAAGAAAAAGUGAUUAUAAUACAUAAUAGUGUUAAAUAUUAGAUCAAGGUGCAGCUUAUAUUCAGGUUUAAAUGGGUUACAAUAAAUCUUAUUUACUACGGAUAAUAAACUUAAACGUUUAUUUGAAGGAGGAUUUAAUUGUAAAUUUAAUUUAAUAAGUUAAAUUGAUAUUAGCUCUAAGUUAUGUACAUAUCGCCCGUCGCUUUCGUCUUUGAAAUGAAAUAAGUCGUAACAAAG
rnacentral:rRNA from 1 species